rnacentral:RNase_P_RNA from 1 species
AAUGGUGAGUAGUUGCGCGGCUGAAUGCCGUGAGGAAAGUCCAGGCUCGCCCAGUGCUGAGAUGCACGGAGUGAUCGUGCCAUUCGCAAGGAUGGGCAGUUGAUAUUAAGUCAACUGACGGCGGUGAAAUCUUGCUAAGUCCUUCAUUGGAUAUGCUGAAAGUAACCUGAAAGUGCCACAGAAACGGGGCCUUGUCUAAAAGGAUGGAACGGGUAAACCCCACGAGCGAGCAACCCAAAUAUUCUCUAUCUUGACAUCAAGGUUCCACCUCAAAUUUGAUAAAAUCAUUUUAUCAAAUUUGACCCGAAGGGUUGAUGUCAAGAUAGGGAAAUGGUAGGGGCACCUUCCUGCGGGAAUUCAACCAAAGGGACGGAUCGGCAUUGCUGAUAGUUAAAUGACUACACCUGUAUAUGUGCGAGAUUGGCAUCGUUUGAGCACAGCAGGAACAAAACCUGGCUUACAGCC